GAUGAACGCUAGCGGCAGGCCUAACACAUGCAAGUCGAACGGUAGCAUGGAUUGCUUGCAAUCUGAUGACGAGUGGCGAACGGGUGCGUAACGCGUAUGCAACCUACCUUCAAUCGGGGGAAUACCCCAGAGAAAUUUAGGUAAUAAUACCCCACUAGUACAACGAAUUCGCAUGUUUUGUUUGUUAAAGUUUAAGGUCGAUUGUAAGAUGGGCGAUGCGUGACAUUAGUUAGUUGGUGAGGUGACGGCUCACCAAGACUACGAUGUCUAGGGGUUCGUGAGAGGAUGAUCCCCCACCACUGGUACUGAGACACGGACCAGACUCCUACGGAGGCAGCAGUGAGGAAUAUUGGAC
rnacentral:rRNA from 1 species